GAUGAACGCUGGCGGCGUGCCUAAUACAUGCAAGUCGAGCGAACAGACGAGGAGCUUGCUCCUCUGACGUUAGCGGCGGACGGGUGAGUAACACGUGGAUAACCUACCUAUAAGACUGGGAUAACUUCGGGAAACCGGAGCUAAUACCAGAUAAUAUAUUGAACCGCAUGGUUCAAUAGUGGAAGACGGUUUUGCUGUCACUUAUAGAUGCAUCCCGGCCGCAUUAGCUAGUUGGUAAGGUAACGGCUUACCACGGCAACGAUGCGUAGCCGACCUGAGAGGGUGAUCGGCCACACGGGAGCUGAGACACGGUCCAGACUCCUACGGGAGGCAGCAGUAGGGAAUCUGCCGCAAUGGGCGAAAGCCUGACGGAGCAACGCCGCGUGAGUGAUGAAGGUCUUCGGAUCGUAAAACUCUGUUAUUAGGGAAGAACAAAUGUGUAAGUAACUAUGCACGUCUUGACGGUACCUAAUCAGAAAGCCACGGCUAACUACGUG
rnacentral:rRNA from 1 species